CUCCAUACCUGCCUCCGGGCCGGCCCCGCAGUCCGUGAUGGGGAGCCCCUGGGCAAGCCGAGCCCCGCGGGGCCGCUGAGGGAGCUUGUGCUGGGGAAGGCACCCGAGACCCGCGGGCGGCGGCUCGGGGUGGCCCCCGGAGCCCCGAGGGCAGCGGCAUCCCUGACGGGGUGAAGUGACCCCCACCCGCCCCCCCUAAAUACUCCUCUGGGGUUUAACGUUGGUUUAAUGGAGAUUUGGAAGCUGGGAUUCUAUGAUAUUUCCAUGCGAUGGCAAAACGCUAAUUCUUCAGUUGGAUAUAGUCAGAAAGACCAUCCUUUGAGCAAAUAUCUACAGUAACUUCUACAGAGACUGUAUGAAACACUGCUUCAGAAUAACCUGGCUACUUUUUCUACAUGACCACAAAGCAAGAUACAGGGCUUGGAAACAGCGUGACCCCUUCGCACAGGAGCAGCAGCACUGCAUGUUACCAGCAGACCACUUUUGAUUCAGCUACUUGGUGACAGAGACAUAUUCUAGGAGCAGCUGAACAUAUUUCUGUUUCCUUUUCCUGCCUCCUCCUUGUGAGCAUUAGAAGUUCCUGCUUUCAACAUUGCUGCUGAGUUCAUCGGGACCCUUCAGCAGGGAGAAAAAAGCCUUCUACUCCAUGACAGAACAAACACUAACUCCAUGACACACAGCUGACAGAAGCCACCAAAACCAGCCCUUCUCCCACUUUUAGUGAUGCAAAUGGAAAUCCUCAAAGAUGAGAAAGACUCUGGUGUCAAUAGCUUUGCAUUCACUCAAGACACACACAGACACGGAGCUGUGCCAGUGGGAGAAAGCUACAUCUCUGGGAAACUCAUGGAGAAACUGGGAAACUCAUGGAGAUUCAUGCCUGUGAGCAAUUCCCCUGCAGAAACAAGAGGUGCAGAAAUUUCAUCAGGAAAUUCACUUCAGGAGAACAAACGUGCAAUGGCAACAAACUGGAAAAAACCCCAAACCCUGGUCCUGAUCCAGCCAGACGUGAUGUCUAGAUUGACACAGGAUCCUGCUGUUAAGCUCCUCUUUUUCCUGCUUCAGGAGGGCAUUUUCUUCUUCCAAGUCGGAUAUGCGCUAUGAAACAAGGCAAAGAAUUACCACUUGCUGCAGGUCAGAGCCUCUGCAGAGGGAUUACAUUUCAGCUGGCUGGAGCCAGGCAGCUUUGUUCAGGCUUUCUUUGCUGUUUAAAAGACCUAUCCCCUUGUACAAAGGAUAACUGGCAAAGCAUAUGAGGAGUUGAAGCGUAUGAGAAGUGCACUGCAACAACAGACACUAACUUUUCUUUUCCUGAGUGCAUUUCUCCCUAAAACUAAUGUUUUCAGCAGAAUCUUACAAAAUACUGAGCAGCUGGAAUUGGCGGCCAGGAUCUGCAGGAGCAAAACUCUUACAAGUUAUCAGGUCAAUAAACCAGAGGUUUAUUUCCACUUCUCAAUGGACUUCACCACCAUCUUCAAGUCAUAGAACUGAUUGCUGUUGGGGGGCGGGGAAAAAUCUGCUGAUUGUUUCAAGCAAUGUAGGACUUGAUUACUUAGGAUGGACACAGUGAAUAUGGGUGCUAAUAUUAAAUAAUUCAGGCUUUUUUAACUUCAUGUGUACUGUAUCCAGUUCAAGAAACAGUCACUUUAAUGCUACAUGCUACUGCAGAACCUCAAGUACAGGGAUGCAUGGCAUGUACCAGGGCCCUU